AGCACAGUGAAGUACUAUUGUGUUUAGAGUCUGACAGUUAUGUGCAUUUUAUGUUCUUAAUUUUUGGGGAGUCACUGUUAGAAAGGACUUCAUUGCUGUCUCAGAGUCUGUCACAAAUAGGUGACUAACCAAUAUAUGAAAUGGCCCUUUUGCAUUGUUAGAUUUAAUUUUUUUAACCUCUCCCUACCCCUCUACCUCAUCUCCUUUUUUCAUUAAUCAGUCUUCCAUCGGCUGUCUGCAGUCUUCUUUCAGUUCAUGUAACAAUCUUGGACUGUAAGUGGUGAUAAGUCCACAAUGGAGGGCACAUAAAAAUAAUGAUUCUUCCUAUGGGUCUUAAACUGGGAUCUUUAAUACUAGGGUGAAAGACUACCUGUUUCUGAGGCUGUUGAGCUGCUGGUAACAUUACUCUGUUAUACGCUGUUGGAAAUGGACCAGCCAAUGGAAGUGCACUGGCCCAGCUUGGCCAGUUUGCCUUCCAGAUGCUUGGUAGAAGCAAUGAUCUCAUUUUGGUAAUCCAUCAAAAUAUAAAGGGGUAACUACAGAUCUGUAACUCCAACAUCUCUUUGGCAGUACCCGUUCUGCUGUCAGGAAUUUGUGCUGAAUGACCACUAAUGCUGGCAUACAAGUAGGUGGCUAAAUGCAGGCAGAUGAUCUCUACUGUGGAGUUUUGAGUGGAUUUGAAUGGGCUGCAGAAUGUGGGGUGCUCAGUUAAGGUUGUAAAUGUAGGGUCAGACGUGGAUGAUUUAGGCUAUUUUAUAUUGCUUUGUAAAAGCUUUGCUUUGCGUGACUGUUUCCUCCUGUUGUAUAUGACAUUUAUUGUAGGGAAGGAGAAGGCUUUUAUCCUACACUGACACAGAGAUAAAUGUUUGGAUAUUUGCUCUCAGUUACCUAAUCUGAAGUUGAACUGCACUUCACAUGUGCAUGGGACAGUCUAUAUGAGAAGGCAAAGUAUUCCAAUGACAAAUAUUCUCCACUUUCCAAGGAUACAACAAAAUCUGGCAUCAAGUUAAUGGGAAGCUUCACUCUGCUUUUGACUGCUGAGAAACAAAAUGUGCUUCCAGGAAAGAUGUAAGUAGCAAUGGGCAAUUUUAUAUUACUAAGGGGCUUUU
rnacentral:lncRNA from 1 species